rnacentral:rRNA from 1 species
AUUGAACGCUGGCGGCAGGCCUAACACAUGCAAGUCGAGCGGUAGAGAGAAGCUUGCUUCUCUUGAGAGCGGCGGACGGGUGAGUAAUGCCUAGGAAUCUGCCUGGUAGUGGGGGAUAACGUUCGGAAACGGACGCUAAUACCGCAUACGUCCUACGGGAGAAAGCAGGGGACCUUCGGGCCUUGCGCUACCAGAUGAGCCUAGGUCGGAUUAGCUAGUUGGUGGGGUAAUGGCUCACCAAGGCGACGAUCCGUAACUGGUCUGAGAGGAUGAUCAGUCACACUGGAACUGAGACACGGUCCAGACUCCUACGGGAGGCAGCAGUGGGGAAUAUUGGACAAUGGGCGAAAGCCUGAUCCAGCCAUGCCGCGUGUGUGAAGAAGGUCUUCGGAUUGUAAAGCACUUUAAGUUGGGAGGAAGGGCAGUAAAUUAAUACUUUGCUGUUUUGACGUUACCGACAGAAUAAGCACCGGCUAACUCUGUG